rnacentral:misc_RNA from 1 species
UACUGGACAAGAUGAAGGCAUGCUCGAAUUCAUACCAUCACGAUCAUUGGCUCAGGUAUUUUAUAAACUGAAUGGUGCUUCUCUAGUGGAGAGUGUAGUCGAUGCUUGCAAUUACCUUUUUCAUUCUUCUUUAAAAUAAUCGAGUUGAGAAGCACCAUCCUUAUCUACACAGAAUGAAUCACUAUAUGGUAAGUAGUGGAGCUAUAGCAUGGUAAAAUUGAUUGGCAUGUACGUCAGACCAUUCUUAUCAUAUUUUACAUUCCCUUUUCGUCCUCUUCAUUAGGGAUGGAUCUUCUUGAAGGGGGGGAAAAGACAUAGUAUAGGAAAACUAAAAUUAUAAUUUUUUUUUAGGGGAUUUAUUAAUUAACUAGUCUGUAAAGUUCAGUUUCAGUUUAUUCAUAAAAAUUUCAAAUUUUCAGUUCAGUUUUAAUUUUUCUAAAAAUUAACCCAAUGGUCAACCAAACCAACCCAAAAUAUAUAUAUAUAUAUUCUCCUCAUGGAAAAGAGUUUUCUGCUAAUAACAUUUGAAUAUUCUCAACAUGGCUCCUUGUUCCAGAUGUGGGACGGUGGACGGAGGCAAGUACCUUCUUUGAGAAGUGAAAUUAAGCUCGUUAGACAUGUGUGUUUGAGCUGAAGAGGAUUUUGCAUAAUUCUUUUGUAGAUUUUUUUUUUUGGGGUGCAAUUUGUUACUAAGAUAAGUUGUCUUUGAAUCCAGAUUCUUUCUGAGCAUCUUCUUUCUGAGCAUCGCAGCAUUAUAAGCUAUUUGCAGAAG